GGACGAACGCUGGCGGCGUGCUUAACACAUGCAAGUCGAACGGAAAGGCCCUGCUUUUGUGGGGUGCUCGAGUGGCGAACGGGUGAGUAACACGUGAGUAACCUGCCCUUGACUUUGGGAUAACUUCAGGAAACUGGGGCUAAUACCGGAUAGGAGCUCCUGCUGCAUGGUGGGGGUUGGAAAGUUUCGGCGGUUGGGGAUGGACUCGCGGCUUAUCAGCUUGUUGGUGGGGUAGUGGCUUACCAAGGCUUUGACGGGUAGCCGGCCUGAGAGGGUGACCGGCCACAUUGGGACUGAGAUACGGCCCAGACUCCUACGGGAGGCAGCAGUGGGGAAUAUUGCACAAUGGGCGGAAGCCUGAUGCAGCAACGCCGCGUGCGGGAUGACGGCCUUCGGGUUGUAAACCGCUUUCGCCUGUGACGAAGCGUGAGUGACGGUAAUGGGUAAAGAAGCACCGGCUAACUACGUGCCAGCAGCCGCGGUGAUACGUAGGGUGCGAGCGUUGUCCGGAUUUAUUGGGCGUAAAGGGCUCGUAGGUGGUUGAUCGCGUCGGAAGUGUAAUCUUGGGGCUUAACCCUGAGCGUGCUUUCGAUACGGGUUGACUUGAGGAAGGUAGGGGAGAAUGGAAAUUCCUGGGUGGAGCGGUGGAAUGCGCAGAUAUCAGGAGGGAACACCAGUGGCGAAGGCGGUUCUCUGGGCCUUUCCUGACGCUGAGGAGCGAAAGCGUGGGGAGCGAACAGGCUUAGAUACCCUGGUAGUCCACGCUGUAAACGGUGGGUACUAGGUGUGGGGUCCAUUCCACGGGUUCCGUGCCGUAGCUAACGCUUUAAGUACCCCGCCUGGGGAGUACGGCCGCAAGGCUAAAACUCAAAGGAAUUGACGGGGCCCCGCACAAGCGGCGGAGCAUGCGGAUUAAUUCGAUGCAACGCGUAGAACCUUACCUGGGUUUGACAUGGAUCGGGAGUGCUCAGAGAUGGGUGUGCCUCUUUUGGGGUCGGUUCACAGGUGGUGCAUGGCUGUCGUCAGCUCGUGUCGUGAGAUGUUGGGUUAAGUCCCGCAACGAGCGCAACCCUUGUUCACUGUUGCCAGCACGUUAUGGUGGGGACUCAGUGGAGACCGCCGGGGUCAACUCGGAGGAAGGUGGGGAUGACGUCAAGUCAUCAUGCCCCUUAUGUCCAGGGCUUCACGCAUGCUACAAUGGCUGGUACAGAGAGUGGCGAGCCUGUGAGGGUGAGCGAAUCUCGGAAAGCCGGUCUCAGUUCGGAUUGGGGUCUGCAACUCGACCUCAUGAAGUCGGAGUCGCUAGUAAUCGCAGAUCAGCAACGCUGCGGUGAAUACGUUCCCGGGGCUUGUACACACCGCCCG
rnacentral:rRNA from 1 species